ACAGCUUUUCCCUAUUUUAUCACCCAAAUGACCUGUCCCUCAUAUCCUUAAUUUCCACUUCCCAUUCCCAACCAACCCAUUCAAUACUAUACAUACUGAUGCUAUCAUUUGCAUAUUAUACUUACUUACCAACCAAUCCAUCUCCUUAAUGUAGUCCACUCAUGGGAGAUCCAGACCGUUCAUCAUCUGGGUCAUGCAACAGAUGGUCCUUACCUUGACUGCAGCAAUGAUCUUGACCACCCAUAGAAGGAAACUUUUUGUGUGAUUGCAACUUGCAAUUAGAUGAAUCCAACAAACGGUUUAAAUUCGAUUGCAAAUGACACACCAAUUUGUAGACCAUGUAAAAUUGCCAUGACCCAUCCACUAUAUGGCCGGAUAGAUGAAUGAUGCGGAUCUUUCACAUGUGUUCCAGGUCUAUGAAGAGAGAAAGCUUGAUAAUUAGUUACAAGUGAUAGCACCGGAUCCUUUUCCAAACAUUACAUAGGAGCAGAAGGCACCUUUCAACCUUGGGGCCUUGAUUGUGGAAUUAUGAGAGAGAGAGAGAGAGAGAGAGAGAGAGAGAGAGAGAGAGAGAGAGAGAGAGAGAGAGAGAGAGGAGGAGGAGGAGGAGGAGGAGGAGGAGAAGUCAAGGAAGGUAGGUGUUUGGAAUGAGGUUUGAUCCAAGAUCUUCUUAUGUUUGCAUCGAUUUCUUUUCUUCUCUUAUUCAAAUUUAUUAUUGAAUUUUCUAUCGUGAGUAUUUUAUCAUACUUUCACGCAAAGAUCUCGGACCAGGCUUCAUUCCUUACACCAAGCUUUCCAUCAGAACAAAAGCCAGAUAAGUUCUUUACAUGUGGAUCUCGGUUACACCGAAUUUCCCAAAUCAAACAAAACCAAUCUAGUCUCUCGAUCCAUUUCUACAUGAAGCUUGUUCAAAAUCCCAUAUGAUUAUUUUAGUUGCACACCAAGAUAUCUACCAAAAUAAAUAGCAACCAUACCAUUAUUUAUUUAUUUAUUUAUUUUUUUGCAUUUAUUAAAAAUUAUUCAUGCCAUCUAUUUCCAUAUUUAAGUACCAUCAAAGGCACUUGAUGAUUAUGUAAGUAUAUAUACGUAGAUUAUUAGGGUUAUAUUGAUAGUAUCACCAAACCCAUGAACUAGGGUUUCUGAAAAAUAUCGAGCUCGUUGGAAGAAUUGAUAUACUAGCUUGUGGGCUUUUUGAAUUUAGUCAUGCUCUUAGAGAAGCUGGCCUUAAUAUGGAUUUUCUUGCGAAGGGGGAAGUCUUUCGAAACAAUCUAGUGGUGGGGUUUCAUUAAUUAUCCGUUGCGUCAAUGGAUCUUUGCAUGUGCCUUAGUUUUUUAUAAAAGAAAAGAAGAAGAUCAAGAAGAAGAUGAUAGCAAGUAAAAUGUAGUCUUUCAGCUAUGUUUGGAUGUUCCAUCAAAUUGGAACUGAGAUAUAUUUUGGAGCUUUUUGUGCACAUCUCAAUUGUUGUUUGGGGAUGUAAAAUCAGAAAAUGAGACCCCAACUACUAAGCCUACCGCGUUGGCUUGGAAAUCCUGCUAAUCAUGAUUUUGGUGGUGCAUCCAAACACAGGAACAAUUUAGAAAUCAUGGUAGAAUAGGUUAGUAGGGAUUUUAUUUUCCUUCAUUUUCUUACAAUUUAGAUAGGUAGUUAAUAUCUUUUAAAUUACAUUUUAUAUGUUUCUCUAAAUCAAUACAUGUUCUUUUGAUCUUCCACAAGAAGUUGAAAUGAUUUUAUUUUUUUCUAGUUCUCAAUCCUUUUGGUUGGAUAUUAAUUUGUUUGGAUCACCACAUGGAAAUUUUAGCUAGUAGCAUGUUUUUUCUCCUUGAUUACGAGUGAUUAUAUCUGUAUGUGGUAUGUUUUCACUUAGUUAAGGUCUAAUGCAAGGAUUAAAUAGUAGUGAAGUGUUGGGUUUUGGGCGUGUUGGAAUCGGUGGCCCUGAUCAGAAUGGAUAGGAUUAGCCAGAUUGGUUUUGUUUUAAUUGGGUGGUGAAAUGUGACUGAUCAGAAAAAGGUCUAAUUUAAUUAGCACAUUUUAAUCUUCGGCCUGGUGUGGUUUGAUAAACCAAAAGUCUUGCCUUUUCAGAUUACAAUAGUUUCAGAUUGAAAUUUCUCAAAAAAGAUUGUGAUUAUCCUCCUUUCCAAACAGGCCCUUAGUAGCAUUCAAACAACUUAGAAAGCAUAAAUGCACAUUUUAAUUUCUCAGUCUUAUUUGUACUUUAGCAACAUGUCACUUUUCUUUGAUUGUUCUAAAUGCCCAUUUUAUUUUAAGAACUAAAAUAGGUUUUUAGGGUUUCUUUGGUCACUCUAGAAAGUUCGCACUUAGGGUUCGAACCAUCUAGGGUAUAUUUUGUGGAAGUUUAGGGUGCUUAUACCUUUUUUAGAUAUCAAGCACCAUAUGUCUGUGCACCUGGAACACGUGUAUGAGAUGUGGACGGUUCAUCUGGUAGGUCCAACCUCUGACAGGACAUGCUCCAAAAUUGAAACUGUCUGAAUGGUCCUAGCUGCAGAUUUGGGGGACUUUAGUCGUUUUAUGUUGACUGUUGAUCGGACAUUUUGUUACCACCCUUUCAAAAUCAAUAAAAAAAAAAAAACCUCCACUUAAGUGUAAUUUUUGUGGCUCAGUACUCAUCCAUCCAUAUGGUGGGACGCAACAGAUGAAUGGUACAUAUGUGCCACACGUUCUGAGUCCAGUACAAGUGAUAGCACUAAACCUUUUCUCAAUUAUUAUCUUUGAUUAUCGUAUUCUAUCAACUAUUAUCACAUGCUUUUGGAAUGCUCUUUUAUUUGUUAUCCAACACUCAAUCUAUGCACACACGCCAAACACAUGCAAGUUCUGAAUUGUUCAUCUAUUCUAACCUACCAAGCAAUACCGACAAUCAUAGGCAUUGGUUGGAGGGGUUUUAUCAUUGAAUGUUGAUAGUUGGUUGGAGUUUUCCUAACUACCCAUUUGUAAUCAUCAGAGUCCUCUAAUCAGUGGACACUGUAAAUGAAAAGUCAUGAAAUCACCACGUGGGACAUGGAUGUUUAUCGUUUUGUAUCUAGCUUUACUGGAUCUUUCUUUUCAUAGGCCAAAAUCUAAUGAACUCUAAUUUCUGUUAAUUAAAAAAAAAAAAAAAAAAACAUAGUUCAAAAAUCCCUUGAAACUCUAUUCGACUCGAGUCGAUAUAUAUAGCUGGUUCGGAUACCUGAUUUCUAGAGUUCUAACUUUUUCAUCAUUAGUGUUAAAAAGCCCACCAUCCAAAUAGGUUUCAUUGUGAUUUGGCUCAAAAUAUCACCGACCUGAGUUGACUCAACUAAGUUUCAGUCGAGUUUUAGAACCAUGCAGUGAAGUCACAUGGCAGGUAUUUGUCACUCUAAUUGCAAUUAUUGAUAGUAUUCAACUUCGGCUUUGUAUCUGAGCUUCCCAUUCGAGGCAGUCCCAUUUGGGGGUAUUUCAGUAGCCAAUAAAUAAAGAAGAGGGUUGGAAAGCCUUUUUUAACCCUAAUUUCUUGUGAGUAACAUGGUAUCAGAGCUGAACUAACCCUACUUCUUCUCCCCAUCUCCUUUCAUGCUUCUUUAUUAGAGUUGGGCUUAGGCCAAAGCCUACAAACAAAACCCAAGUUGAAUACUAACUAGCAAUAUUAUUAUUUUUUUCUUUUUUAUUUUUUAAUUAGCAAUAUUUACUUUAGCUUAAAGUAGUUUGAGUUCGAUGGUGCAUCCAAAUAUAUCCCGAUUGUUUGGAUUGUGAAUUACUCAUAAUGAUGAUUAUUUUAUAUGACUUUAAUAUUAAAUCAAUACACACACACACACACACACACACUUUGAUGUAUCUAUGUUUCGAUAGGAGAUUUUAUUUUAAAUUUGUAUUGAUUACAAAUUCAUUUAAUUAUUCUUAAUAAUGAUUAUUUUACAUGACUUUAAUAUCAAAUUAGAAGAAAAAAAAUACUGAUGCGCAUGUUUGGAUAGGAGAUUUUACUGUAAACUUAUAGUGAUUAAAAAAAUCAUUUACCUAUAUUCUAUUCCAUUUUCAUUAUACUGCAAAAUUACGUGUUUAAACGAACGUUGUAAAAUUAUAAUGAUAACACUUUUAUAGUACAUUAUUAUUAUAAUUUGCAAUCCAAACCUUAGUGUUCCUCCAUUCCUCUUCAUUAAGCUAAAUGUUUAUGAUUCGAUGCGCUCAUGCUUCCAAACGCACUAUUAGACAUAAAGGUGUAUUUUUAGCAACAAUUAUGCUUAAUUUGCACUUAAGGUGUUUGCUUGCAGCCAUCUAUAAGGCACAUUAUCUACAUGCCACCCCCAUGGCAGACAGAUGCAAUAGCUAGCCAAGGCGUCCAUCGAGAAGUUGUUCCACAACUAUGGCCCGCCUGAUUGGUGGAACGACCAGAUUCUUGGGCCAGCAAAUCCACACAAUGGCGCCCUUUGAUGGAUGGCUUAGAUCUCGGACGUAUGUGAUGUACUGGCACAAAUACUGAACUGUACGUAAGCAGUUUUCAUCCCCGACGUACUACAAUAUCAUAUGUCAGGACUUUCACCUUUGAAUCCGGGUCACCUUCCAAUUAUCCAAACCGUUUAAAUGGCGAGUCUUACUUUGUGUGGUGGAAUUAAAUCCAAAGUCCCAUUUCGACUAUUUCAACCCUUUCAUUAUUAGGCUCCUUUGCUAUGAACAUGAACGGUCACCAUAACUUUUGUGUAAUGAAAAGGGCUGAAAUAUUAGAUUGGUAAA